rnacentral:rRNA from 1 species
GAUGAACGCUGGCGGCGUGCCUAAUACAUGCAAGUCGAGCGAACAGACGAGGAGCUUGCUCCUUUGACGUUAGCGGCGGACGGGUGAGUAACACGUAGGUAACCUACCUAUAAGACUGGGAUAACUUCGGGAAACCGGAGCUAAUACCGGAUAAUAUUUCGAACCGCAUGGUUCGAUAGUGAAAGAUGGCUUUGCUAUCACUUAUAGAUGGACCUGCGCCGUAUUAGCUAGUUGGUAAGGUAACGGCUUACCAAGGCAACGAUACGUAGCCGACCUGAGAGGGUGAUCGGCCACACUGGAACUGAGACACGGUCCAGACUCCUACGGGAGGCAGCAGUAGGGAAUCUUCCGCAAUGGGCGAAAGCCUGACGGAGCAACGCCGCGGGAGUGAUGAAGGUCUUCGGAUCGUAAAACUCUGUUAUUAGGGAAGAACAAACGUGUAAGUAACUGUGCACGUCUGGACGGUACCUAAUCAGAAAGCCACGGCGAACUACGU